ACUGAGCGGAGCCCGGUGACAGGAUGGUGAGGGCUGCAGCUGUGGCGACAGAGGCCUGGCUCUCGGCUGGGGUGCUGCGUUGUUGGGAGCUGUGGGGAGUCCCAGGAGGAGGGAUUGGGAAAUCCCGGAGGCCUCGGCGUCAGGGCCUACGCGCUGGCCUGGGAAAGGCCCAGGAAGAGGGCUAGGGAAGGAAGGGAGCGGCCACCUCUGGGUGCGGCUGGCCUAGGUCUCGUAUCCCGGCCCCAAGGGGCCAGAGGCCAUCCAAAGAGUAAAAAGGCCCAUCUAAGCUGCCCGACCUGUCACGAGACCCCCACUCCCGAGCCAGGGAAGGCCAUUGAUUCUAUACCUCGAGUGUUCCGGGGAUAGGGGCACGGUCCUCCUCUGUUUCCAGACGUUUCCUACUCCUUUCCCGCAAAAAGCAUCUUCCGCUGGUUGGGGUGUAGUGGUGGAAGCUGGCCUCUCGAAUGCAGAACGGGAAGUAGCGAGCAGAAUUUCGUACCCGUUUAAGUUUCCCAUCUAGGGAAAGGGAAUAAACGACCCUCUUCGCCCCUGAAAUAACAUCCAGCUGCCAUUGAAAUGAACAGGCUGGGCACAGAUUGGUGUUGGUAUUAGGAGAUCUGCACAUCCCACACCGGUGCAACAGUUUGCCAGCUAAAUUCAAAAAACUCCUGGUGCCAGGAAAAAUUCAGCACAUUCUCUGCACAGGAAACCUUUGCACCAAAGAGAGUUAUGACUAUCUGAAGACUCUGGCUGGUGAUGUUCAUAUUGUGAGAGGAGACUUCGAUGAGAAUCUGAAUUAUCCAGAACAGAAAGUUGUGACUGUUGGACAGUUCAAAAUUGGUCUGAUCCAUGGACAUCAAGUUAUUCCAUGGGGAGAUAUGGCCAGCUUAGCCCUGUUGCAGAGGCAGUUUGAUGUGGACAUUCUUAUCUCGGGACACACACACAAAUUUGAAGCAUUUGAGCAUGAAAAUAAAUUCUACAUUAAUCCAGGUUCUGCCACUGGGGCAUAUAAUGCCUUGGAAACAAACAUUAUUCCAUCAUUUGUGUUGAUGGAUAUCCAGGCUUCUACAGUGGUCACCUAUGUGUAUCAGCUAAUUGGAGAUGAUGUGAAAGUAGAACGAAUUGAAUACAAAAAAUCUUAAAGCCAGGCCUGUCUUGAUGAUUUUUUUUUUCAUUGUCCUAUUGAAAUCAAGUAAUUAAACAUUUAAGAGCCACAAAAUUGUAUCACUUUUAUAAUAUUUUGCAGUAAAAUAUAAUACCAUCUUCUCUGUUAAUACAUAAUUGCUCUAAGCUUCCUGUAAACUAUAAGAAUAUAUUUAGUUUACAGUAUAUGGAUUCUGUGAAAAAAUGUCCACAACACAGUAAUUGGUCACUUGUUAAGAAAAAUUUAUCCUUGUAAAUAUCUUCAAAGUUGAUAUUUGGAACUUUAUUCCAAAAGUAGUGCAUGUGGAGAAAGAAUCUAGACUAUCUUGUAUACAUUUUUCUCUUCUCUAGUAAUAAACAAUUACCUUUCAUUUAUACUUUCUUGAUAACCUGUAUUUAAUUUUAAAAAACAUAAAAAUGAGGAACCAAGUGAAACUACGCAUAUAAAUAUUAAAGUGAAGUGGACGAGAUGACCUUUCAGAGCUCUUCUCUUAUAUUGUGUCAUAAUGUUGGACUCAGAUUUUAUUUGCUAAAUAAUAUACCAUAUUGACAUUAAAUUAACAGUGAUUCUUCAAA